UGCAUGUCUAAGUAUAAGCAAUUUAUACGGUGAAACUGCGAAUGGCUCAUUAAAUCAGUUAUCGUUUAUUUGAUAGUACCUUACUACAUGGAUACCUGUGGUAAUUCUAGAGCUAAUACAUGCUGAAAACCUCGACUUCGGAAGGGGUGUAUUUAUUAGAUAAAAAACCAAUGCCCUUCGGGGCUCCUUGGUGAAUCAUAAUAACUUAACGAAUCGCAUGGCCUUGCGCCGGCGAUGGUUCAUUCAAAUUUCUGCCCUAUCAACUUUCGAUGGUAGGAUAGUGGCCUACCAUGGUGGCAACGGGUAACGGGGAAUUAGGGUUCGAUUCCGGAGAGGGAGCCUGAGAAACGGCUACCACAUCCAAGGAAGGCAGCAGGCGCGCAAAUUACCCAAUCCCGACACGGGGAGGUAGUGACAAUAAAUACUGAUACGGGGCUCUUUUGGGUCUCGUAAUUGGAAUGAGUACAAUCUAAAUCCCUUAACGAGGAACAAUUGGAGGGCAAGUCUGGUGCCAGCAGCCGCGGUAAUUCCAGCUCCAAUAGCGUAUAUUAAAGUUGUUGCAGUUAAAAAGCUCGUAGUUGAACCUUGGGUUCGGCCGGCCGGUCCGCCUCACCGCGAGUACUGUCCGGCCGUUCCUUUCCUUCUGGGGAAUCCCAUGGCCUUCACUGGCUGUGGGGGGAACCAGGACUUUUACUGUGAAAAAAUUAGAGUGUUCAAAGCAGGCCUUUGCUCGAAUACAUUAGCAUGGAAUAAUAGAAUA
rnacentral:rRNA from 1 species